rnacentral:rRNA from 1 species
CACCGCGGUUAUACGAGAGGUCCAAGUUGAUAGCCCUCGGCGUAAAGAGUGGUUAAGAGAAAACCAAAACUAAAGCUGAAUACUCUCAAAACUGUUAUACGUUCUCGAGAGCAAGAAGCCCUUCUACGAAAGUGGCUUUAACCCUUCUGAACCCACGAAAGCUAGGAAA